UCUGGGUCCUCAGAGGCACAGGACUGGCAAGCACAGCAGCCUAGUCUCACUCACAUAAGGAUGGCCAUCUGGCUUGUUCAUGUGAGCCUCAAUUAGAGAGAGAGUCUCAUUCUGUACACACCCAGUCUUUCUAAAAGCUAUAAUCUAAAAUCUCCCAUCAAAUGAGAAGACUGCUCUAGAGUCCACAGGUGACUUUCAGAGGAGACAGACAUCACACACAUACAGUGAGUGACAUGGAAAUUUCCUGAGUGAUGUGCAAUUUUCUGGGAUGAAGAUAAAAAUACUCAAGUGGCCUAUGCAUGACAAAUAAAAACUGAGAAUCAUUGCUUCAGCCCCAGGGAAGAAUUUACUAUGGGGAAAAAAAAUCAAUGACUAUCAUGGAACCACAGCAUCCCCUAGAGAGACCUUAAGCAGGGAUAGCCAAGCUUUUGGCUCCUCCGUACUGAGAAAAAAAAAAAAAAAGAAUUAAUUUGUGCCAAACUGCAUGCCUUGAGUUGCAAGUAUACGCACACAUUCACUUCUUGUGACAUUUGUUGUCAUUUACAAUGUCCAUGUUUGAGAACCAUGCGAUUAAAUUGCAAAAAAGAAAUAUUAAUUGCGGAAAACAAAAUCUCACAUCUUAAGUAGGGUCACAGUUUUGUGAGGGGCUGCAUUCAUAGCUAUCAUCAGCCACAUGAGCCCACAAGCUGUAGUUUGGACAAGCAGGUGAGGAUGGCUUUCUAGUGUGUCAUUCUUGUGAUGGCUCUCCUCUUUCAGGAUGAUGCGUUCUUAUUGUUCUCUAGUAUUGGCUUCUCACUCAGGUGCACUGGACUGCCUCCUGUUGGCAGCUGAUUUUCAGCCUAAGAGUCAGCAAAAUGGUAAAUGUCAACUUGUCUGCAAACGUGGACGUACUCCUUUCAUCUUUGCCAUGGCGCUCUGUUAACAUGUAAUUAUCAUGAGAGUAGUUGAGGUCGAAUGAGAAGCUGAGGGCUGAGAAUGCAGAGGCCAUUCAUGUUCACUUUGGCCUAGGCCCAUGUUCUCUUACAGCAGGUUAAUAGGUACCAUAUGCCAAGAAUGACUUUUAGGGUUGUUGACAGUGAGGUGCUGUCCAUCUGUUUUGGUUCAGAGUCCAGCUCUGACACAGGCUGGUUCUAUAACCUGCCAUAUCCCCAGUCUUUGUCAGGAAUGUGUUUAAUAUGGCAGACUCUAUUUCAAUGGGAUGGGGAAGAUGAACUGGGAGAAUGAUGGGCAGGAAUGAGGAUGGAGUCUCACAAAAAACAUUGAGUGCAUGAUAGAGACUGUGUGGCUCAGGAGCCUGAAGAGCUGAAGGAUGAGACAAGAAAAGAAAAGAAGAAAGUUAGCACCAGUAAUGUCAUUAACUCUUCACUGACAGGUGGCAGGAUGUGAACAGAACUGGAUAGAUGAGUUGAUAGGUGAGCAGAUGGAUGGAUAGGUGGGUGGUACAUAGGUAGAUGUGUGUGUGUGUGUGUGUGUGUGUGUGUGUGUGUGUGUGUGUGUGUGUGUGUGUAGAUGCACGGCUGAGAAAGGAGAGGAGAGGAGUGGGUAGGAGAUGAGAUGAUUGGUGAAUGAAUAGGUGAGUAGGUGCGGGGUUGGAGGAGGAGAGAAAGAGAGAGAAAGAAAAAGAGAGGGGGGGUGUGAAUGACUAUGUAGAAGGAUUGGUGAAUGGAUGGGUAGAAGAGAGAUGGACAGAUAGGCAGGUAGAUUGCUGAACUGAGGUUAUGUGUUGGGUUUUAGACCUGUUUGGAAAGUCUGUAUUUAAUAAGGUCAAGCAGUUUUUCUGUCUUAUAAUACUUCUCAAAUACGUUUGAAUGCUAACAGUCAUUUAGAAUCUGAGAGAG
rnacentral:lncRNA from 1 species